AUUAUUCCAAGCACACUUUCCAGUAUGCUUACCUUGUUACGACUUAUCUCCUCUCAUAAAUUUGUUAGUGAAAUUAUGUAUAUGUGAAUGUCAAUCUAAUUUGAGGAGGGUGACGGGCGGUGUGUGCGUACUUCAUUGCUCUAUUCAAUUAAGCUCUCUAUUCUUAAUUUACUACUAAAUCCUCCUUUGUCCUUUAGUUUCAUAAGGGUUUCGUAAUGUUCUCUGGGAAAAGAAAAUGUAGCCCAUUUCUUUCCGCUUCAUUGGCUACACCUUGACCUAACGUUUUAUGUUGUCUUGUGCUAACUUAGUGCCUUUUUAGGGUUUGCUGAAGAUGGCGGUAUAUAGGCUGAAUUAGCGAGAAGGGGUAAGGUAGAACGGGGUUUAUCGAUUAUAGAACAGGCUCCUCUAGACGGAUAUAAAGUACCGCCAAGUCCUUUGUGUUUUAAGCUGUAGCUAGUAGUUCUCUGGCAAAUAAUUUUGUAGGUUUAAUUAUUAAGGUUUAGGGCUAAGCAUAGUGGGGUAUCUAAUCCCAGUUUGGGUCUUAGCUAUCGUGCAUUAUAUAAAUGAUUAGAAUUACUUUCGUUAUUGGGCUUAGGUCCUAACAAUGAAUUUUCACAUAUAAGUUGGAUUUUAAUUCUAUUAUGAGAUUUAUAGUUGGCACGUUUUACGCCGAAAAUAAUUAGUUUGGGUUAAUCGUAUGACCGCGGUGGCUGGCACGAAAUUUACCAACCCUGAGAGGUACUAGCUUAGUCAAACUUUCGUUCAUUGCUUAAUAUUUAUCACUGCUGAGUCCCGUGGGGGUGUGGCUAGGCAAGGCGUCUUGAGCUAUAUUAUGUGCUUGAUGCCCUCUCCUUAAGUUUUAGGCAAAUCUUUAAGGGAUUUUACACCGGUUUAUGGAUGUUUGCAUGUGUAAUCUUACCUCCAAUUAAUUAUAAGGCCAGGACCAAACCUUU
rnacentral:rRNA from 1 species